rnacentral:rRNA from 1 species
GUGGGGAAUCUUAGACAAUGGGCGCAAGCCUGAUCUAGCCAUGCCGCGUGAGCGAUGAAGGCCUUAGGGUUGUAAAGCUCUUUCAGGGGGGAAGAUAAUGACGGUACCCCCAGAAGAAGCCCCGGCUAACUCCGUGCCAGCAGCCGCGGUAAUACGGAGGGGGCUAGCGUUGUUCGGAAUUACUGGGCGUAAAGCGCACGUAGGCGGACCAGAAAGUCAGGGGUGAAAUCCCGGGGCUCAACCCCGGAACUGCCUUUGAAACUCCUGGUCUUGAGGUCGAGAGAGGUGAGUGGAAUUCCGAGUGUAGAGGUGAAAUUCGUAGAUAUUCGGAGGAACACCAGUGGCGAAGGCGGCUCACUGGCUCGAUACUGACGCUGAGGUGCGAAAGCGUGGGGAGCAAACAGGAUUAGAAACCCCUGUAGUCC